ensembl:snRNA U6 U6 spliceosomal RNA
GAGCUUGGUUCAGCAGCACAUAUGCUAAAAUUGGAUACAAUACAGAGAAGAUUAGCAUGCCUCCUUUGCAAGGAUAACAUGCAAAUUGGUGAAGUAUUCCGUAUUUCU